ACCUAGCCCAGAUAGAAGCGACAUACUUUUUUACCGAUGUUUUUCGAGAUAAAAGAUAGAGUGGAUAGCGGGAAAUAAC
rnacentral:sRNA from 1 species